CCUUAUAGCCACAUCAUGUUGAAAGCACUGGUUCUCAUCCGAUCCCCAAAGUUAAGCAAUGCUGAACCUAGUUAAAACUUAGAUGGGUGACUGCUUGGGAAGCCUGGGUGCUGUAAGCA
rnacentral:rRNA from 1 species